UAAAGGAGACCCCAGAGAGCUCUGCCGCCCCCUCCGCCAUGUCAGGACACAGCAAGAUGCCAUCUGUGAACCAGGAAGUGGGCUUCCACCAGACACCAAAUCUGCCAGUGCCUUAACCUUGGACUUCCCAGCCCCCAAACUGUUUGCUGUGAAGGAUUCUUCUCCCUAAGGACUGUGGCCUGAGUUGUCGGUUAUCCCGCCCAGAACACACAGGAUGUGGAAGAUGCCUUCCCGGGAGGAAGAACCGGGAGCAGAGGCUUGGGUAAGAUUCCCCAGCAGAAGAUUCUUUAUGCCAGGACGGCAGCUGUGGAAGCCGUAAUAAGCACAAGAAAUGCUAUAAUCGAGAGGGAGAAACAGGUCUUCCAUGUAUGCCCGACAAGACCGCUUAACCAUGGACUCUGCCAAAGGAGGACGCCGCUUGCCCUUGUUCCCAGAGGAGUGGUGGGUAAAUGAAAAAACAAAAACAAAAAA